GUCAUGUCAAGCUAAUUUAAUCAGUUUCAAUGAGGAGGUAAGUUCUAGACUUGACCGUGGUGAAUCAAUGGAUGUCGUAUAUCUGGAUUUCUCCAAAGCAUUUGACACUGUACCACAUAAAAGGUUAAUAUAUAAAAUUAGAAUGUUUGGACUGGGAUAAAAUGUCUGUAUGGGGUAAAAUGUCUGUUUG